AUACGUAGGGUGCGAGCGUUGUCCGGAAUUACUGGGCGUAAAGAGCUCGUAGGUGGUUUGUCGCGUCGUCUGUGAAAUUCCGGGGCUUAACUCCGGGCGUGCAGGCGAUACGGGCAUAACUUGAGUACUGUAGGGGAGACUGGAAUUCAUGGUGUAGCGGUGAAAUGCGCAGAUAUCAGGAGGAACACCGGUGGCGAAGGCGGUUCUCUGGGCAGUAACUGACGCUGAGGAGCGAAAGCAUGGGUAGCGAACAGGAUUAGAUACCCUGGUAGUCCAUGCCGUAAACGGUGGGUGCUAGGUGUAGGGGUCUUCCACGACUUCUGUGCCGUAGCUAACGCAUUAAGCGCCCCGCCUGGGGAGUACGGCCGCAAGGCUAAAACUCAAAGGAAUUGACGGGG
rnacentral:rRNA from 1 species